rnacentral:rRNA from 1 species
GAUGAACGCUGGCGGCGUGCCUAAUACAUGCAAGUCGAGCGAACAGACGAGGAGCUUGCUCCUCUGACGUUAGCGGCGGACGGGUGAGUAACACGUGGAUAACCUACCUAUACGACUGGGGUAACUUCGGGAAACCGGAGCUAAUACCGGAUAAUAUAUUGCACCGCAUGGUUCAAUAGUGAAAGACGGUUUUGCUGUCACUUAUAGAUGGAUCCGCGCCGCAUUAGCUAGUUGGUAAGGUAACGGCUUACCAAGGCGACGAUGCGUAGCCGACCUGAUAGGGUGAUCGGCCACACUGUAACUGAGACACGGUCCCGACUCCUACGGGAGGCAGCAGUAGGGAAUCUUCCGCGAUGGGCGAGAGCCUGACGGAGCAACGCCGCGUGAGUGAUGAAGGUCUUCGGAUCGUAAAACUCUGUUAUUAGGGAAGAACAAAUGUGUAAGUAACCAUGCACGUCUUGACGGUACCUAAUCAGAAGGCCACGGCUAACUCCGUG